UCAUUUCAUUCCUUUUCACAUAUUCCACGUUCAGUGUCCAUGUUUUGCUACCAUGCAACAUCACACUUUGUCAACUGUUUUCCAGGUUAGUGAAUCCCUUUGUUGCAAGCAAAAUCAGUAGCUUCCUGAACUGGUUUAACCUCAUCCUUAUUCUGGUGUCUAUGCUUUUGGAAUAUCAUCCUCUACCAUUAUGUCACCUACUUAAUGGAAGCUAUCAACUUGUAGUUCAUAGCUAUGGAGUCUUUCAAGAAUUUAAAGGAAUCCAUUUCAUAGGUGACCUUAAUGUUCACUACUCAUGCAUCUGCUAUAUAUGGAGUCUUUGCUUCUCUGUCUACCUGUUUGUGAUCCCACUGCAUUUGUUGUACUCUGGAAGUUUAUAUUUGAUACACUGUGCAGAGUUACUACUUAACUUCUUUUCUGCAUAUUGAACAAGGCCGCUUCCCAUUAGAGAGGUGACCAUGCUUGAUGUGCCAACUAGAACUUUUGUCUUUGAAAGGUUUAUUUUGAAGCCUCUAGAUUCUUGCUUCCAUGUUUGGAAUAUUUUUCAUAAUUUUCAUUUGAUCAGCUACGCGAACUAGAUCAUUCAGAAAUUCCCUUGGAUAGACAGUCUAAAGUUCUGUGAAUUGGCUGGCCAACAAUUAGAAACAGUAGUGAGCUAAGAACCAAAUCUUGAUGAAUGCUUAUCUGCAAGAUUUUUCACUUAACUCAUUACUAACUUUAAUUUUGUUGGCAGCAUCUCUUUACAUCACUCACACCAUCCACUUGCCUUCACCUAGUUCUUUUAGCGAUGACCUGACUACAGAACACGAUGCUCCAAACUGCCUCUCAUCUAAGCAACUUGUCUUUCUUGUCACUUGUACUAUAAUCCUUUCUGUUACUUUUACUACCAGGUUCAUCACCUUGAUGACUCUGUAGUUAUUUCUUUCUGCGGCAUUUCCUUUGCCUUUGUUCUUGUUGAUGAUAGUGCUACACCAGUCUUUAGGCAUGACUCAUCCUUGUACUACCUGAUUGACUACACAAGUGAUUAGCACAUGUCCAACUUCACUGGAUAUUUUCAGUAUCUCACUAGCUACCUUUGAUGGUAUCGCUACUUUCACUGCCUUCGUGUCCUCAAUUGCACUUUUGACCAUGCUGGUGUCAACUUGAACAGCUGCUUCGGAUUUUCCUGGAGUAGAGCCUCUCUCAUUCUGUUCAGUCAGUGAUCUCAUUGUGCCCCUUUCUUCUUGGUGUCAGUCACAAUAAGUGUCAUUUUCUUUCCAUACACACUUUUCCCCAAUGACCUCUUGUUUCAUACUAAAACACUUCUUUGCAAUUCAGAACACCUCUUUCAUCUUCUUUCUUUGCUAUCUUUAGCUACCUGAUAUGAUUUCUUGCUUCCCAUUUUCUCCGAAUCUAGGUCAGUCCUUUAGCUUUUAUGGCAGUAUCUGAAGUAUCUCCAUGUUACAUUUUUCUCAGGCUGGAACUCCCACUCACAAAUUCUGUUUGUGACUUACACAGAAGCUCCCAGUUGUCCUAAGUUACAUAUCUAUCAUGUAUAUAUAUAUAUAUAUAUACAUACAUACACACACACACACACGUAUACAUCUGUAAUAUAUUAUAUGUGUGUGUGUCUGUAUGUGUAUAUAUAUAUAUUUAUAUAAACACACACACACCAGGUAUUGAAUUCACAUUAAUCAGAAGACCAGCUCUACUUGUUUCUUUUUAUUAACUCAAAUGAUAAUAAAAACAUAUUCUCCUCUUCAGCUUCUUUUGUUUUCAUCCUCUUCCAGUUUUUUCUUCCACAACUGAGAUUUUCCUUGCGCGUUAUUUUCAUCUUCUCACUUCAUUUCACUGUCCUUAACAGAUCUCUCCCCAUGAUCAGCACCACUGGAAUCGUCUAAAUUCUUGUUCCUCACCACAUUCUGUUUCUGCAACUGCUUUGAUUCCUUUCAAACUACUACUAGAUUUGGGUCCUGUAUUGCUUGUUCCUGAUGAAAGUGCAGGCUUCUGCAAAACAUUAAAAGUGGGGGAGAGUGUUUUGGUGGAGAAGAUUAAUAACUUGUUGUUUAGCCCUGAUAUGAACACAACUGUUGAUCAAAUAAAGACAUUCCAACCACCAUUAUUAUCCUGUCUUCUUUUUUUCAGACAGGCUACCUACGACUACAUUUGUUAAAUGUGCUCUUCCUAUAUAUAUAUAUAUAUAUAUACAUAUAUAUUGUAUGGCAAUUCUAAAACAUUUAAAUUUAGAUUUUUUUUUCAUUACCAUUACUUAUACUUUGUUUUUCUCCCUUAAAAGAAAAAAACUAAAACAUUGAGGUUUUUUUCAUACAAAUUUGAAACAAAACAAUUUUAAUUUUAUCCAGUUAUUUCAUGAAAAUUCACUUUUCUUUUUAACCCCUACAAAUAUACAUAGUUUUUGUUUUCUUUUACUGUUUUUUUUCUCUUUCAUAUGAAGCUGAAUUGGGUAGUGGUAUAUUAAAACACGUCUAUAUAUUAAUUAACAUAUACUUGUACAUACAUGUUUUAAUUGCAAAUGUACAGACAUUGAGACAUGCUUUUGUAGCAUGAACAUUUUGCCAGUUGGCAGAAACUGACCCAAUCUUAAAGUAGGGUGAUGGGAAAUAUAACCCUUGAUUUCACAUUUUUUAACUUUUGAUUUCAUGUAAUAUUUCAUGCUUUCCAAUGAUUUUAUUUUAUUAUUAUGUUUGAUUUUUUUUGUUUGUUUUUUUGCAUAAAACUUCAUGAAUGCUUAAAGGCUCUUAAUGAAUCCGAUGAAAGUUGUACAGUAUGUGUAUGUUAGAGAGUGAAUGAACUCAUGUGUAUGUGUAUCUUUGGCUAUGUGUAUACGUGCAUGCUGAGUGAUUUUAACUGUGAUGUUUUACUACUUCAGUUGAGGUGUGCAAAUGAUUUUUUAAUUUAUUUCUUUCCUGAUGUUUAAAUUUUUGAUGAUGAUUGAAUAAACAAAUUCUGAUAAUUUUUGCAAGGAAAAAUAAAAUUUUAAAAAUGUGUACCAUA